AUGAUCCGGUGCUUGCACCGGGGAUUAGUGGCGAACGGGUGAGUAACACGUGAGUAACCUGCCCUUGACUCUGGGAUAAGCCUGGGAAACUGGGUCUAAUACCGGAUAUGACUCCUCAUCGCAUGGUGGGGGGUGGAAAGCUUUUGUGGUUUUGGAUGGACUCGCGGCCUAUCAGCUUGUUGGUGAGGUAAUGGCUCACCAAGGCGACGACGGGUAGCCGGCCUGAGAGGGUGACCGGCCACACUGGGACUGAGACACGGCCCAGACUCCUACGGGAGGCAGCAGUGGGGAAUAUUGCACAAUGGGCGCAAGCCUGAUGCAGCGACGCCGCGUGAGGGAUGACGGCCUUCGGGUUGUAAACCUCUUUCAGUAGGGAAGAAGCGAAAGUGACGGUACCUGCAGAAGAAGCGCCGGCUAACUACGUGCCAGCAGCCGCGGUAAUACGUAGGGCGCAAGCGUUAUCCGGAAUUAUUGGGCGUAAAGAGCUCGUAGGCGGUUUGUCGCGUCUGCCGUGAAAGUCCGGGGCUCAACUCCGGAUCUGCGGUGGGUACGGGCAGACUAGAGUGAUGUAGGGGAGACUGGAAUUCCUGGUGUAGCGGUGAAAUGCGCAGAUAUCAGGAGGAACACCGAUGGCGAARGCAGGUCUCUGGGCAUWANNYGACGCUGMGNAGCKAVVGC
rnacentral:rRNA from 1 species